CGGCAAUGGGAAGUCGGCAACAAAGAUCCUUGGGUAUCAGUUGAACUCAUCAACAUUAAUCAUUUCUCUUACUGCUGCUGGCAUUUUGCUCUGAAAGUAUCUUCAAAACAUUGACCAAAGCUCGCAACCUGUCCCAUAUGUUCAAGCCAUACAGUGCUUCUACAAGUGANNNNCCUCGAAGCCGUUCUCCGAAACAGGAUACUGAAUAGGUUUUGGUAUCUUGGUUUUGAUAUAAGGCCACCAUCUAUCCUCAACAACUGAUUUUACAAGACAACAAGCCCGCAAUCCUUCAACACCAGCGAAUCGUCCAAAUCCACUGUCUUUUACACCACCAAAUGGCAAGGACUGACACAUGUAAGUUGAAGCAAAGUCAUUAAUUGCAGCAACGCCACAAUGUAUCUGGGAAGCAAUCUCUUUGGCACGGCGCUGGCUACCAGAAAAAACAGCACAGCCAAGCCCAUAUCUAGAGUCAUUUGCAAGCCUGAUAGCUUC
rnacentral:misc_RNA from 1 species